rnacentral:rRNA from 1 species
UACGUAGGGUGCAAGCGUUAAUCGGAAUUACUGGGCGUAAAGCGUGCGCAGGCGGUUGGGCAAGACAGAUGGGAAAUCCCCGGGCUUAACCUGGGAACUGCAUUUGUGACUGCACAGCUGGAGUGCGGCAGAGGGGGAUGGAAUUCCGCGUGUAGCAGUGAAAUGCGUAGAUAUGCGGAGGAACACCGAUGGCGAAGGCAAUCCCCUGGGCCUGCACUGACGCUCAUGCACGAAAGCGUGGGGAGCAAACAGG